rnacentral:lncRNA from 1 species
AUUUCGUGUGUAUUUUAGUCUAGACGCCGUCUGUUUGAUUUCAUGUUUUAGCUUUUGGAGUGAAAUUGUUCAUCUUUGUUUCAAUUUCAAUGUUGACAUUAUUUUCCUUUCAAAAGCUGAACACGACUGUAACGAAUCACAUCAAUCAGUCAAUAAAUCAAGUAAUACCUAUGCGGUUUAAUCUACAUAAGUAUCUUUAUUCAUCAAAACAUAUAAGUUUGGCUUCAUAUACUGUUAGUAUCGUAACAAUCGAUUCUC